rnacentral:rRNA from 1 species
CCUACGGGGGGCAGCAGUGAGGAAUAUUGGUCAAUGGACGAGAGCCUGAACCAGCCAAGUCGCGUGAAGGAUGAAGGAUCUAUGGUUUGUAAACUUCUUUUAUAUGGGAAUAAAGUGAGGAACGUGUUCCUUUUUGUAUGUACCAUAUGAAUAAGCAUAGGCUAACUCCGUGCCAGCAGCCGCGGUAAUACGGAGGAUGCGAGCGUUAUCCGGAUUUAUUGGGUUUAAAGGGUGCGUAGGUGGUUCGUUAAGUCAGUGGUGAAAGUUUGGGGCUCAACCCUAAAAUUGCCGUUGAAACUGGUAGACUUGAGUAUAGUAGAGGUAGGCGGAAUGCGUGGUGUAGCGGUGAAAUGCUUAGAUAUCACGCAGAACUCCGAUUGCGAAGGCAGCUUACUGAACUAUAACUGACACUGAGGCACGAAAGCGUGGGGAUCAAACAGGAUUAGAUACCCGAGUAGUC